GAUGAACGCUAGCGGCAGGCCUAACACAUGCAAGUCGAGGGGGAAGUUACUUUCGGGUGACUGAGACCGGCGUACGGGUGCGUAACGCGUAUACAAUCUGCCUUUCACUGGGGGAUAGCCCGAAGAAAUUUGGAUUAAUACCCCAUAGUAUAUAGGGACGGCAUCGUUUUUAUAUUAAAGCUUAGGUGGUGAAAGAUGAGUAUGCGUUCUAUUAGCUAGUUGGAGAGGUAACGGCUCCCCAAGGCGAUGAUAGAUAGGGGUUCUGAGAGGGAUGUCCCCCACACUGGUACUGGGAUACGGACCAGACUCCUACGGGAGGCAGCAGUGAGGAAUAUUGGACAAUGGUCGGAAGACUGAUCCAGCCAUGCCGCGUGCAGGAUGAAGGUCUUAUGGAUUGUAAACUGCUUUUGGAAGGGAAGAAUAAGGGCUACGCGUAGUUUGAUGACGGUACCUUACGAAUAAGCAUCGGCUAACUCCGUG
rnacentral:rRNA from 1 species